CUACGGGGUGCUCCAGUGGGGAAUAUUGCACAAUGGGCGAAAGCCUGAUGCAGCAACGCCGCGUGAGGGACGACGGCCUUCGGGUUGUAAACCUCUUUUAGCAGGGAAGAAGCGAAAGUGACGGUACCUGCAGAAAAAGCACCGGCUAACUACGUGCCAGCAGCCGCGGUAAUACGUAGGGUGCAAGCGUUGUCCGGAAUUAUUGGGCGUAAAGAGCUCGUAGGCGGUUUGUCGCGUCUGCUGUGAAAAUCCGAGGCUCAACCUCGGACCUGCAGUGGGUACGGGCAAACUAGAGUGCGGUAGGGGAGAUUGGAAUUCCUGGUGUAGCGGUGGAAUGCGCAGAUAUCAGGAGGAACACCAAUGGCGAAGGCAGAUCUCUGGGCCGUAACUGACGCUGAGGAGCGAAAGCGUGGGGAGCGAACAGGAUUAGAUACCCUCGUAGUC
rnacentral:rRNA from 1 species